CCUACGGGAGGCAGCAGUAGGGAAUAUUGCUCAAUGGGGGAAACCCUGAAGCAGCAACGCCGCGUGGAGGAUGAAGGUUUUAGGAUUGUAAACUCCUUUUGUUAGAGAAGAUUAUGACGGUAUCUAACGAAUAAGCAUCGGCUAACGCCUGGCCAGAAGCCGCGGUACUACGAAGGGUGGAAGAGUUACUCGGAAUCACGGGGCGGAAAGAGGGCGUAGGCGGGGUAAUAAGUCAGAGGUGAAAUCCUGUAGCUUAAAUACAGAACUGCAUUUGAAACUAUGACUCUGGAGUGUGGUAGAGGUAGGUGGAAUUCUUGGUGUAGGGGUAAAAUCCGUAGAGAUCAAGAGGAAUACUCAUUGCGAAGGCGACCUGCUGGAACAUUACUGACGCUGAUGCACGAAAGCGUGGGGAGCAAACAGGAUUAGAUACCCUUGUAGUC
rnacentral:rRNA from 1 species